rnacentral:lncRNA from 1 species
GUGAUGGUAAAUAUAUCUGCAAGUUGUCAGAUCAUCUCAAUGUCAAAAUUUUGCUUGAAUAUAUGAAACCAUUUAGAAAAUUCAUACCUUUUACAUUGAUCCCAUUUUGCCAAUUUCAUUAUCUAAAAAUCCAACUUAAAAAAAAAAUAAUAAUAAUUUUAAUUAUUUCUCCCAGCUCUAGAAAGCAGGUACUGCACUUCAUUAUGAGGUCAUGUUGCUACUGUGAAGCACACAUGAGCAAAUCAAUGCUGAGAAUGGCAACAUCCCUCAGUGAUUUUGGACUUCAGCACAAUUUGUUGAGAACGUGUCUCCUCUUGAUUAAUACUUUCAGACAGCAGAAGGGUGAGGACAUCCAAGCUUUUCAGCAUCCAGAGAGGAAAUCAUCCAAUUAG